rnacentral:rRNA from 1 species
AUUGAACGCUGGCGGCAGGCCUAACACAUGCAAGUCGAGCGAGCGGCGGACGGGUGAGUAAUGUAUGGGGAUCUGCGCGAUAGAGGGGGAUAACUACUGGAAACGGUGGCUAAUACCGCAUCCAAGCGGAUGAGCCGAUAUGGGAUUAGCUAGUGGGUGGGGUAAAGGCUCACCAAGGCGACGAGCUCUAGCUGGUCUGAGAGGAUGAUCAGCCACACUGGAACUGAGACACGGCCCAGACUCCUACGGGAGGCAGCAGUGGGGAAUAUUGCACAAUGGGCGCAAGCCUGAUGCAGCCAUGCCGCGUGUAUGAAGAAGGCCUUAGGGUUGUAAAGUACUUUCAGCGGGGAGGCGUUACCCGCAGAAGAAGCACCGGCUAACUCCGUGCCAGCAGCCGCGGUAAUAC